rnacentral:rRNA from 1 species
UACGGAGGGUGCGAGCGUUGUCCGGAAUCACUGGGCGUAAAGGGCGCGUAGGCGGCGCGGCAAGUCCAUGGUGAAAGCUCGUGGCUCAACCCCGGGAGGCGGAUGGAUACUGCUUGGCUCGAGUCCGGAAGAGGCGAGUGGAAUUCCUGGUGUAGCGGUGAAAUGCGCAGAUAUCAGGAGGAACACCGGUGGCGAAGGCGGGUCUCUGGGCCGAUACUGACGCUGAGGAGCGAAAGCGUGGGGAGCGAACAGG